rnacentral:rRNA from 1 species
UACGUAGGGUGCAAGCGUUGUCCGGAAUUAUUGGGCGUAAAGAGCUCGUAGGCGGUUCGUCGCGUCGGCUGUGAAAAUCCGAGGCUCAACCUCGGACUUGCAGUGGGUACGGGCAGACUAGAGUGCGGUAGGGGAGAUUGGAAUUCCUGGUGUAGCGGUGGAAUGCGCAGAUAUCAGGAGGAACACCAAUGGCGAAGGCAGAUCUCUGGGCCGUAACUGACGCUGAGGAGCGAAAGCAUGGGGAGCGAACAGG